rnacentral:rRNA from 1 species
GAGGAGGAGCCCGGAGAUGGGUACUGAGACAAGGACCCAGGCCCUAUGGGGCGCAGCAGGCGCGAAACCUCUGCAAUAGGCGAAAGCCUGACAGGGUUAUUCUGAGUGACUUUCGCUAAGAAAGUCUUUUGACACCUCUAAAAAUGGUGUAGAAUAAGGGGUGGGCAAGUCUGGUGUCAGCCGCCGCGGUAAUACCAGCACCCCGAGUGGUCGGGACGAUUAUUGGGCCUAAAGCAUCCGUAGCCGGUUUUACAAGUCCUCCGUUAAAUCCAACUGCUUAACAGAUGGGCCGCGGAGGAUACUAUAAGACUAGGAGGCAGGAGAGGCAAGCGGUACUCAGUGGGUAGGGGUAAAAUCCGUUGAUCCAUUGAAGACCACCAGUGGCGAAGGCGGCUUGCCAGAACGCGCUCGACGGUGAGGGAUGAAAGCUGGGGGAGCAAACCGGAUUAGAUACCCGGGUAGUCCCAGCUGUAAACGAUGCAGACUCGGUGAUGAGUUGGCUUAUUGCUAACUCAGUGCCGCAGGGAAGCCGUUAAGUUUGCCGCCUGGGGAGUACGGUCGCAAGACUGAAACUUAA